CCUGCAGCCUUGGUGCUUACUGUGGGGUAGUCACGUUACUCCUUUGUUCAGUCGCCUACUUCUUAAAACUAUAGAACUCAACACCGAAGACAGAUUGUUGAAGCCAGGUAUUUCCCAGUAUUGAGUGUGACCAAUGUUUGGAUACAUGAGAGACAUCAUAUUGUAGCUUACAUCAAAUACAGAUAAUUAUUCAACUGGCGGAGAGCAGAUGCCGAAUAUUCACCUGAACAUGAAGUUAGUGGCAGUAUUUUUUUACAUCACAAAAAUGCGGAGUUCUGCCGAACCCCCCCCCCCCCUUGCUUACGAGCGUGGAAGAAGAUGGUGUUAUUGUACUUCUGUAGGAUUGCGUAAAUAUUUCAACUUGUCUCAUCUUAUGUUUUAUUGUAUUACAUA